rnacentral:rRNA from 1 species
GGCGGACGGUGAGUAAUGUGUAGAGAAUCUGGCCCUUAUGGGGACAACAGUUGGAAACGACUGCUAAUACCCCAUAUGCGCGUAGCUGAGAUGCUAUUCGUGAAAACUCCGGUGCUAAAGGAUGAGUCUGCAUCUGAUUAGCUAGUUGGCGGUGUAAUGGACCGACCAAGGCGACGAUCAGUAGCUGGUUUGAGAGGAUGAUCAGCCACAAUGGGACUGAGACACGGCCCAUACUCCUACGGGAGGCAGCAGUAGGGAAUUUUGCGCAAUGGGGGAAACCCUGACGCAAGCAACGCCGCGUGAUUGAAUAAGCCCUUCGGGGUGUAAAGAUCUGUCAGUAGGGACGAAACUUGACGGUACCUACAGAGGAAGCAUCGGCUAACUCCGUGCCAGCAGCCGC